GACGUAGGGGGCGAGCGUUGUCCGGAUUUACUGGGCGUAAAGCGCUUGUAGGCGGUCCACCAAGUUUGGGGUGACAGUUGCCGACUUAAUCGGCAAAGUGCCUCAAAGACUGGCGGACUUGAGGGCCACAGAGGGACAUGGAACUCCAGGUGUAGUGGUGAAAUGCGUAGAUAUCUGGAAGAACACCAAAGGCGAAGGCAGUGUCCUGGGUGGUACCUGACGCUGAGAAGCGAAAGCCAGGGGAGCGAACGGG
rnacentral:rRNA from 1 species